rnacentral:rRNA from 1 species
UACGAAGGGGGGCUAGCGUUGUUCGGAAUUACUGGGCGUAAAGCGUACGUAGGCGGAUUGUUAAGUGAGGGGGUGAAAUCCCGAGGCUCAACCCUCGGAACUGCCCUUUCAUACUGGCAAUCUUGAGUCCGGGAGAGGUGAGUGGAACUCCUAGUGUAGAGGUGAAAUUCGUAGAUAUUCGGAAGAACACCAGUGGCGAAGGCGAC